UGCCAGCCGCCGCGGUAAUACGGAGGGAUCUAGCGUUAUUCGGAAUAACUGGGCGUAAAGCGAGCGUAGGCGGAUUUGUAAGUUGGAGGUGAAAUCCCAGGGCUUAACCCUGGAACUGCCUUCAAAACUACAUUUCUUGAGUUUGGUAGAGGAGAGUGGAAUUCCUAGUGUAGAGGUGAAAUUCGUAGAUAUUAGGAGGAACACCAAUUGCGAAGGCAGUUCACUGGACCGUGAUCGACGCUGAGGAGCGAAAGCUAGGGGAGCAAACAGGAUUAGAUA
rnacentral:rRNA from 1 species